GACGAACGCUGGCGGCGUGCUUAACACAUGCAAGUCGAACGGAAAGGCCCUGCUUGCCGGGUACUCGAGUGGCGAACGGGUGAGUAACACGUGGGUGAUCUGCCCUGCACUUCGGGAUAAGCCUGGGAAACUGGGUCUAAUACCGGAUAGGAGCCAUUUUUAGUGUGAUGGUUGGAAAGUUUUUUCGGUGUAGGAUGAGCUCGCGGCCUAUCAGCUUGUUGGUGGGGUAAUGGCCUACCAAGGCGGCGACGGGUAGCCGGCCUGAGAGGGUGGACGGCCACAUUGGGACUGAGAUACGGCCCAGACUCCUACGGGAGGCAGCAGUGGGGAAUAUUGCACAAGGGGCGCAAGCCUGAUGCAGCGACGCCGCGGGGGGGAUGACGGCCUUCGGGUUGUAAACUCCUUUCGCUAGGGACGAAGCUUUUUGUGACGGUACCUAGAUAAGAAGCACCGGCUAACUACGUG
rnacentral:rRNA from 1 species